CCUACGGGAGGCAGCAGUGAGGAAUAUUGGUCAAUGGGCGCAAGCCUGAACCAGCCAAGUCGCGUGAGGGAUGACGGUCCUAUGGAUUGUAAACCUCUUUUGUCGGAGAGCAAGGCCCGCCACGUGUGGCGGGCAGGAGAGUACCCGAAGAAAAAGCAUCGGCUAACUCCGUGCCAGCAGCCGCGGUAAUACGGAGGAUCCGAGCGUUAUCCGGAUUUAUUGGGUUUAAAGGGAGCGUAGGUGGAUUGUUAAGUCAGUUGUGAAAGUUUGAGGCUCAACCGUAAAAUUGCAGUUGAAACUGGCAGUCUAGAGGACAGUAGAGGUGGGCGGAAUGUGUGGUGUAGCGGUGAAAUGCUUAGAUAUCACGAAGAACACCGAUUGCGAAGGCAGUUUACUGGACUGCAACUGACACUGAGGCUCGAAAGUGUGGGUAUCAAACAGGAUUAGAUACCCGAGUAGUC
rnacentral:rRNA from 1 species